AGGUGGGGGAGAAAAAGCCAGAAGACUUCAUACUUCUCGUGGGAAACUUCUGCCCAGAGAGCGUAUCGACAGACUGCUGGAUCCUGGGACCCCUUUCUUGGAGUUCUCUCAGUUUGCCGCAUAUGAAUUGUAUGGAAAAGAGGAAGUCCCAGCAGGCGGUAUACUAACUGGGAUUGGGCGUGUUUCGGGGGUGGAAUGUGUUAUAGUUGCGAAUGAUGCUACUGUCAAAGGCGGGACAUACUUCCCUGUUACAGUGAAGAAACACCUCCGUGCACAAGAGAUCGCACAGCAAAACAACCUGCCAUGCAUUUACUUAGUGGAUUCGGGAGGAGCCAAUCUUCCGAGACAGGCCGAAGUCUUCCCAGACAGAGAUCACUUCGGACGUAUUUUCUACAACCAGGCCAGGCUGUCUUCAGAGGGAAUAUCCCAGGU